UAGGGGGUAAGAUACACAGAAAGGGGUAAGACAUUCAAAAGAUGGGAUAAGACACAAAAGGGGUAAGAAAUUAAAAAGGAAGGUUUAGAGACACACAGGUAAAAAUUCAUUUUUUUGGGGGGGUGAGGCAAAACAUAAUCUUUACCUGUGUGUCUCUUAACCUCCCUUUUGAAUUUCUUACCGCUUUUGUGUCUUAUCCCAUCUUUUGAAUGUCUUACCCCUUUUUGUGUAUCUUACCCCCUUUU